rnacentral:rRNA from 1 species
CCUACGGGAGGCAGCAGUAGGGAAUCUUCGGCAAUGGACGCAAGUCUGACCGAGCAACGCCGCGUGAGUGAAGAAGGUUUUCGGAUCGUAAAGCUCUGUUGUCAGCAAAGAACAGGAGAAAGAGGAAAUGCUUUUUCUAUGACGGUAGCUGACCAGAAAGCCACGGCUAACUACGUGCCAGCAGCCGCGGUAAUACGUAGGUGGCAAGCGUUGUCCGGAUUUAUUGGGCGUAAAGCGAGCGCAGGCGGUGAUUUAAGUCUGAUGUGAAAGCCCCCAGCUCAACUGGGGAGGGUCAUUGGAAACUGGAUCACUUGAGUGCAGAAGAGGAGAGUGGAAUUCCAUGUGUAGCGGUGAAAUGCGUAGAUAUAUGGAGGAACACCAGUGGCGAAGGCGGCUCUCUGGUCUGUAACUGACGCUGAGGCUCGAAAGCGUGGGUAGCAAACAGGAUUAGAUACCCUGGUAGUCC